rnacentral:rRNA from 1 species
UUGGUAUGCACUGGCUUUACUGAUUCCUCCUUCUUGACGAACCGUGAUGUCAUUAAUUUGGUGUUGCGGGAAAUCAGGACUGUUACUUUGAAAAAAUUAGAGUGUUUAGAGCAGGCUAACGCUUGAAUACAUUAGCAUGGAAUAAUGAAAUAGGACGUUAAUCCUAUUUUGUUGGUUUCUAGGAUCGACGUAAUGAUUAAUAGGGAUAGUUGGGGGCAUUAGUAUUCAAUUGUCAGAGGUGAAAUUCUUGGAUUUAUUGAAGACUAACUACUGCGAAAGCAUUUGCCAAGGAUGUUUUCAUUAAUCAAGAACGAAAGUCAGGGGAUCGAAGACGAUCAGAUACCGUCGUAGUCUUAACCAUAAACUAUGCCGACUAGGGAUCGGAUGAUGUUAAUUUUUUAAUGACUCAUUCGGCGCCUUACG